UGCGUAGGUGGCGCUGUAAGUCGGGUGUGAAAUUUCGGAGCUUAACUCCGAAACUGCAUUCGAUACUGCGGUGCUUGAGGACUGGAGAGGAGACUGGAAUUCAUGGUGUAGCAGUGAAAUGCGUAGAGAUCAUGAGGAAGACCAGUGGCGAAGGCGGGUCUCUGGACAGUUCCUGGCACUGAGGCACGAAGGCCAGGGGAGCAAACG
rnacentral:rRNA from 1 species